GGGUGGAGGAUAACCUCGGGAAACUGAGAAUAAUACUCCAUAGAUCUAGAAUGCUGGAAUGCUUUUAGAUUGAAAGAUUUAUCGCCUAAGGAUAAGUCUGCGGACUAUCAGGUUGUAGUUAGGGUAAAUACCUGACUAGCCUACGACGGAUACGGGUUGUGAGAGCAAUAACCCGGAGAUGAUAUCUGAGACACGAUAUCAGGCCCUACGGGGCGCAGCAGGCGCGAAAACUUCGCACUGCGCGAAAGCGCGACGAGGGAAUCCCAAGUGUAUGCACUUUUUGUGUAUACUGUUUCUCUGUCUAAAAAGCAGAGAGAGUAAGGAGCUGGGUAAGACGGGUGCCAGCCGCCGCGGUAAUACCUGCAGCUCGAGUGGUGAUCGCUAUUAUUGGGCCUAAAACGUCCGUAGCCGGUUCUAUAAAUGCCUGGGUAAAUCGUACGGCUUAACCGUACGAAUUCCGGGUAGACUGUUUAACUUGGGACCGGGAGAGGCUAGAGGUACUCCUGGGGUAGAGGUGAAAUUCUGUAAUCCUAGGGGGACCACCAGUGGCGAAGGCGUCUAGCUAGAACGGGUCUGACGGUGAGGGACGAAGCCCUGGGGAGCAAACGGGAUUAGAUACCCCGGUAGUCCAGGGUGUAAACGCUGCUCGCUUGAUGUUAGUCGGGCUCCGAGCCCAACUAGUGUCGGAGAGAAGUUGUUAAGCGAGCUGCCUGGGGAGUUCCGUCUCAA
rnacentral:rRNA from 1 species